rfam:Phytophthora infestans T30-4 supercont1.1783 genomic scaffold, whole genome shotgun sequence.
UAUUGAAAAAGGCAAACUCAUCGAAAGGUGAGGGCGCAAAGCUACAGGAGCUAAAGCGAUUCAAUCGCCAUGCUAGCCAGCUACCAGU